CAGCUUGCAUUCGUGGCUGUUUUGUGGCCAGCUUCAUUGUAAGGACUUGAAAUGCGCUUCUCAUCCAUCUACAGCCAGGCAUCCUACAGCCUGGUAGGGAAGACAACACUGAGACAAUGAGAAACAGCAAACCUAACAUACUUGCUUAGCAUUCCUGAAGGAUUUUGGAAGCAGCACUGAAGUAACAUGCAAAAAAAGGCAAAAAUUAAGAGAUUAAUUAUACUUUAUUAUUCUGCUUUUUUCCUUAACUAGUUAGCAAAUGUCAUCCAUGUUAUUUUCUCUAGAACAAAAUUCCUGCACAGAAAUUAAAAGUAAGUCUAAAACAAUGCAGCUACAUUCUAAUUGCAAAAACCUUUUUCUCAGUGCAGGAAGGAGAAGAAAUGAUCUCCAGAUAUCUGUGUGAGUUGGAUCAUUGUGGCGGACCGAUGAAUGAAUCUUUUUGCCUUAAACAUUUCUUGGUGCAUGGGGUGCAGGCAGGCCAUAACCCCGAGCAAGCCGUCUGUCCCUGGCAGAAACAGGACUGGGCUGCUGCGACCCCCGAGAUGGUCUCCCUGCGACCACCCGGGACACACCGAGCCUGCACUGAACAAGACCACAAUCGGGCAGAGACUUUGGGACCUGGACUGUAAAUUAUUGUCCGUUUUUAGCGCAACUUCUGUGAAACUUGCUUGGCAUGAGUGGCUGAAUUUGCUGGAGCCUUAGGCCGCACUCCCUAGUUCGGUGAGAAAGGGCCCCAGAGCUGGUGCAGGCGGGAACGAUAAGGGAGUUACCAGCAGUUUGCAUCUGAAACAGUGCUAAUUGCUGGAGUUACCACCUCUUUGUCAGGACCUGCAGAGACAACAGCAGAACCCGAGAAAUGGAGACACACCUGUGGAAGAAACUGCAGCAGAAAACAGCCUGCCUAGGAACGACGAUGAGAUCCAAUAAGGAGCAGGAGACCCCAGACCCAAAAAACUGCUAUUGGUCCAAACUACCGUGUGAGGGGUGGAGAGCUUAGAUUGGAAGGUAUAAUUGUCCAGGGAUUUCUUUGUUCGGGGUCCCUCUUCGGAGGUACCCAACUCGGGCUGUGUGAAGAGGACCCACCUACCACCAGACGGCCCCCCCCCCCACCGCUGAGACUCCCAAAGGAAGAGGACCAACGGGACAACGCUGGAUCCAUGGCUGGACUAUGUCAUCAGUAUCAGCAGCUCCUCAACUUUCUGCUUUUCUCCACUCCGACAAUUAUCUCAGCUUCUCCACUGUCAUACUCCACCAGUGCUGUAUAGAAACACUGCAAGAUAAGCUGGCUUUACAUAUGAAAUGACAAACUGUGGUUUUUUUAAUCAAGAUUCCAGACCUAGAAGAGCUGGUGACUGUAAAUAGUGAAACUCAUUUUCACAAGAUGGCAGUGAAAUCUUCAGAUCAAAAGACUAGUGAGACUGAAAAAAUGAUGUGAUAUUCACAAAUGUGGACAUUUUAUUAUCCAUAUAGCAGCUAGUGCUAGCAAACUAUGACUGUGACUCAAGGAUCAAAUCAACUGGAAAUCACCAGGAAUUAGGAAGAGUUGAACUGUGAAGUGCAAUUAUCAUGUAUCUGCCUUAACAGAAGGUUGCUUUUACCUUCUCUGAAGUUGGUGACUUUGACAACGACUGACUCCGGAAACAGGAAACUACAUAGGUCUGAUUUGACAUGGUAAUUCCAGUGAGAUAACUAGGCUUUUUUCGGUAGCUGUGUAAUCCUGAAAAAGGAGUGGUUUGGUACAAAGUGAUUAAAGAAGUGCAUGGUACUUUGGGAGUACAAAUUAUUUUCUUUUUGUCAACAUAGUAACUUGUUGGAUGAUGAUUAACAGCUGUUAUAAAC